rnacentral:rRNA from 1 species
CCUGCCCUUGGGUCCGGCAUAACCCCGGGAAACUGGGGAUAAUUCCGGAUAACGCACAUAUGCUGGAAUGCUUUAUGCGUCAAAUGGAUUCGUCUGCCCAAGGAUGGGUCUGCGGCCUAUCAGGUAGUAGUGGGUGUAAUGUACCUACUAGCCGACGACGGGUACGGGUUGUGAGAGCAAGAGCCCGGAGAUGGAUUCUGAGACAUGAAUCCAGGCCCUACGGGGCGCAGCAGGCGCGAAAACUUUACAAUGCGGGAAACCGUGAUAAGGGGACACCGAGUGCCAGCAUCAUAUGCUGGCUGUCCGGGUGUGUAAAAUACACCUGUUAGCAAGGGCCGGGCAAGACCGGUGCCAGCCGCCGCGGUAACACCGGCGGCCCGAGUGGUGAUCGUGAUUAUUGGGUCUAAAGGGUCCGUAGCCGGUUUGGUCAGUCCUCCGGGAAAUCUGACGGCUUAACCGUUAGGCUUUCGGAGGAUACUGCCAGGCUUGGAACCGGGAGAGGUAAGAGGUACUACAGGGGUAGGAGUGAAAUCUUGUAAUCCCUGUGGGACCACCUGUGGCGAAGGCGUCUUACCAGAACGGGUUCGACGGUGAGGGACGAAAGCUGGGGGCACGAACCGGAUUAGAUACCCGGGUAGUCCC